rnacentral:rRNA from 1 species
CCUAGGGACGCAGCAGUGGGGGAUAUUGCACAAUGGGGGAAACCCUGAUGCAGCGACGCCGCGCGGGCGAAGAAGUAUUUCGGUAUGUAAAGCCCUAUCAGCAGGGAAGAAGAAAUGACGGUACCUGAGUAGGAAGCACCGGCUAAAUACGUGCCAGCAGCCGCGGUAAUACGUAUGGUGCAAGCGUUAUCCGGAUUUACUGGGUGUAAGGGAGCGCAGGCGGCACGGCAAGCCUGAUGUGAAAGCCCGCGGCCCAACCGCGGGACUGCAUUGGGAACUACCGGGCUGGAGUGCCGGAGAGGUAG